rnacentral:misc_RNA from 1 species
GAUGAAAGAACGCAGCGAAAUGCGAUAAGUAGUGUGAAUUGCAGAAUUCAGUGAAUCAUCGAAUCUUUGAACGCACAUUGCGCCCCUUGGUAUUCCAUGGGGCAUGCCUGUUCGAGCGUCAUUUGUACCUUCAAGCUUUGCUUGGUGUUGGGUGUUUGUCUCGCCUUUGCGUGUAGACUCGCCUUAAAAUAAUUGGCAGCCGGCGUAUUGAUUUCGGAGCGCAGUACAUCUCGCGCUUUGCACUCAUAACGACAGCGUCCAAAAGUACAUUUUACACUCUUGACCUCGGAUCAGGUAGGGAUACCCGCUGAACUUAAGCAUAUCAAUAAGCGGAGGA